rnacentral:lncRNA from 1 species
GCUAGAUACAUGACAUGAUUGUUCUGAACAGGUGUGGGAGAAAAGGAUCAACAGUAUACCACUUAAACUGCUAAUACAAGUGCUAGAGUGGUCACAGAAAGAGGAGGAGGGUGACACAAGGAGCUUCCAGUGCUAAAAUCAACAAUUCAGAUCCAUGACAAAUGACUUGCAAGACCACAAUCUGUGGCUGAGAAUAAAAUCGGAGGCUUUGGUGGAGACCCUGCUUUAAUUUAAUCUUCCUGGAUAGCGGGAAAUAGAUUCCAUGCAACAAAGCGGUACAUGGCUAUAAUUUAUCCCUUUAAGCCCAAACUUUCUGCUGUGAGCACCAAAGUAAUUAUAGGAAUAAUAUGAUUGGUGGCUUUUGGACUCACCUUCCUGCAGUGCUUUUAUGCUGAGAUCAUGAUUGAUAAUGGAAUGACUAAAUGUAUUGUUGCCUGGCCAGAUGAUGUUGGACGGAAGCAUCAGCUCACUUUGUGAGGACCAUGGUCAUUGUUGUGAUAACUUUUGCUAUCUUUUGGUUACCUUACCACCUCUACUUCAUCCUGGGGAGCUUCAGGGAAGACAUCUAUCAACAAAAGUAUAUUCAGCAAGUAUAGCUUGCAGUCUUUCUGCUUGCUAUGAGUUCUACGAUGUACAAUCCAAUUAUUUACUGCUGCCUUAACCAAAGGUUUCGUUCUGGCUUCAGAUUAGCUUUCCAAUGGUGCCCAUGAAUAAAAGCAACGGAGGGAGACA